ensembl:rRNA 5S_rRNA 5S ribosomal RNA
GCCAGCAGCCAUACCACCCUGUGGUCCCCAACUGGCUACCCACAGAAGCUAAGCAGGGUUGAGCCUGGUCAGUACCUGGAUGGGAGACUCCUGGGAAAUUUAAGGCUGCUGCUGGAA